rnacentral:rRNA from 1 species
UACGUAGGGGGCAAGCGUUGUCCGGAUUUAUUGGGCGUAAAGAGCGUGUAGGCGGCCAGGUAGGUCCGUUGUGAAAACUGGAGGCUUAACCUCCAGCUGUCGAUGGAAACCAUCUGGCUAGAGUCCGGAAGAGGAGAGUGGAAUUCCUGGUGUAGCGGUGAAAUGCGUAGAUAUCAGGAGGAACACCGGUGGCGAAGGCGCUCAUCUGGCCCAAUACUGACGCUGAGGCGCGAAAGCUAGGGUAGCGAACGGG